ACCCGUCAAAGCGUUUCGGCCGGCCCUCGUGGAGCGGGUCGUCGCGUGCUCGGUGGGAGCCACCAGCGCCGCCGCCAUUUUGGAUGCGUUGCCGCCCGCCUGGGCAACAGGUGGUUUCGUUUCGUUUCUUUCCGCGCUGCAGUGCCGUCAAAGGUGCCCCCUCACCACGUAACCGUCAAAGGUGCCCCCUCACCACGUAACCGUCAAAGGUGCCCCUCACCACGUAACCUGCCGUGGUUUCGUAGCCGUCCCGCUGCAUCCCGCAGUUAUGCAGGAAUUCUAGCAGGUGAAGAUCCUGCAGUUUUCCUGGCUGGUUUUACCGUUUCGUAAUGCAGGGAACAGAAAAUGUCAGUGGUGAAAAUCAGUAAGGGUUGCUUUAAAAUGCUUCUCCAGUGCCCUCGACGAGUCGUGAUACAUUCAGCUUCAAUCCGUAACGUUGAUUGAUGUGUGACAGUCUGACUAUAAAAAAAAUUGGAAAAGAAUGACAUGUUGAGGGCAAGCUAAAAGGCAUCAAACGUACAGAUGAACAAAAUAAAGGACUAUUGCCCGAUACGAAUAGACGUAAAUAUACGUAAUAAGAAAUCUGCGAAGGAGGGGUUGGUUGGUAUGAGAUAGCAUGUGAAUGCAACUGCAGAUGAUUUUGCCCCUUGAAAUCCACUUCUUUUUCCCCCACACACGAAGAAAGGAUGCAGGAGGCUUAGCAGGAGCAUUGCUCUGGUCAGUGAAGGAGUCCCGGGUCCGGGUUACCCCGCGCUGUCUCGCAGCGGCUCAGGGGAGGCAGUGGGUUGCCGUUUCUUAUUUUAGGUGCUAGAGACGAUACGCUCAUGCAGUGCAGAUUUUCCACUUGUGGCCUCUGCUCACUGCCUCUUCUCAGCUCUUCUUACAUCCCGCUGUCUUGAGUUCUGCGGCUGCUGUGUCUGCAACCCUUCCUUUAGGCUAGAAAUACCAUUUCUAAUAGCACUUCCAGUAUGUUAAGCACAGCUUUCCUGGCACUUCCCUUCCAGGCAAAUGUCAUCUCCCAGCACUGUUUCCCAUCACACUUUCCUUCCAGAAUCUCUUUCCUUUUCUUUUUUUUUUUUUCCAUUUUCCCUCCACACCGCUGAAAGGAAGGGAAAAAAUUAUGGCAUGUGGUUAAUGGGGUAAAAAAGAGAUGGAAGGUAGAAGUAGGCAAAAGAAAGCAAAAAGUAACUCCUAAAUAAUGUAUUCAGGGAGCAGUAACAUUUACUGCACAUUUGUGAGCUAAUAGGUACUGUAAAUCUGAAUUUGGGGUAAUUUACAUCUGGAAGCUCAUAGGAAUGGGGUGAUACGUACAUGGAAAAGCAAGUCUAUCACACGUCUGUGGUUGGAAUAAGUGGAGACGUGACUGACUGCAAUUCCUGUUCUCUCAUAGCCAUGUAAAUCCUUUGUGUCUAAUCAGUGGGAUCAGAAUUUCAAUCAAUAAGUUUCAUUUCAGUGGUACUAGCUGGAGGGCGUUAUGAAAAGUGCAGCAAAAGAAAAGCACAAACGAAAAUCCAGAGGCAGCAUCCUCAUGAGAUGGCUACAUUUUGCUUGCCAUCUUCUCCAGCAAUUUCCCAGCCUGGGAGUCACAUUGGGAUAUUCUCCAAGGAUUUCACUAGGAGAAUUUGUCUUUCAUAUCAGCCUCUGGCUACUCAUUAUGUGACAAAUUGUAGCCUGUGCCUCCUGCCAUGGAGAAAAUGAUUUCACUUCUGCCUGACCAGUGUGGGGUCCGCACUAGGCCUUUUCUCCCAUGUGUGGUCCCCAUCACUACAUAAGUGUCUGCCAGUCUCUUCUUAAGGGACAGCCCAAAAAGGCAAGUCUUCUGCUUGGUGUCUCUGCUCUCAGAUGCAGGGGAGCAGCUGUGAAGUUGAGCCAUUUCUGAGCCAAGUUUUACAGGUUUUAUGUCACUGGUAAUUGAGUGAGGCUGAUGGGAAAGUUCCUUUGAAUUUUUCUUAGAAGAAAAUUUCAUUUUUUUUACAAAUUGUGUUUUCAUGGCAGAUGGAUUUCAAGAACCUGAAAAAAAAGCCUGCCUCUCCUACCAAGCAAUGAAAAUAUGUAGCAGUCUACUUGGCUUUUGAGAUUAAUAUGUUGGUUUUGUGAUUGAAAAUAAUGUUUCCACCUUUCAGGGACUGACAGGAGUUCUUUUUUAGUAAAAAGUAGUUGGUCUCAGGAACAACUUCAGAGAAAAUUGUUUUCUUUUCUUAAAUAUGCAAGAUAUUUUUCAUGACAGGUGUGGGGGGAUGACUUUUUUCUGGCCAGUCCUACAGUUAAACUAUUUCUCUCAAAGUGCAUGAAGGACAGUGCUUGUUUCUACUUGGACUAUUAUCUUUAUAAACAUUAGAGUGAACAGCGUACUUUAAACCAAAACCCUCAUUCUCCUGUAUCUUUGAUCUGUGCCUUAUCAAGAACAGGCUUCUCUUCACAAUCUGCUUUCAACCAUUCUGCUAGAAAAAAAUGAAUUAGAUAGUCAUUUCUUUAAGAAGCGAAGGAUGGGAUAAUGGCAAGAGAAUUGAUGGAUGCAUUUGAAACGUGUUGUGCCAAAGUGAUGUUACGAGGUAUAUUGCCGUAUUGUGAUCUCCAGGGUGUCAUGUUCCUAUGGAUGGAUGAUCAGGUAUGUCUCAAGGUUCUCCUGUCUGUGUCCAAAUGGUGGGAGAGAUGUGCUCUCCAGCAAACCUCAUGGUCCCAGGCUCCCCACUACCAGCUCAGGGGUUUGUAGAGUGCUCUGACUUCCUUCUAACCUAGACAGUUUGUUUUCUUUCUUACGGAAACAUAGCAGACAGUGUGAUGCAGGAGAAGCCAAGGAGCACAUCGGGACCCAGGACUGAGGAAGCCCCUCUGGGUCCCACAGUCUGGACAUGGCCUCAGGGAGCAGUUGCAAACGCCUGCCGCAGAUCCGGGCCGUGAAGGCAGCGCGUGUUCUCGGGAUGUAGCCAGCGCAUGCCUCCCAGCUUGCCAGGAGGUAGCAAAACUGGCUGGGAAAACCCUUCCUACUUUAGGAUUGUUCUCUGCAGUCUAUGAUCUUACACCUCUCCAGUAUGGUUUUAAUGCACGUUAAUGGAACUGCCACCAAUCUCAUGGAGAGACAGCAAUACAUUCUAGCAGAUCUCACCAUUAGGAAGUUUUCCCCGGAUAUGCAGCCAAAUUUUUCAAUCUUUAAAUUGAUGUCAAUUACUCCCCAGCUAAACCUAGUUAUACGGUGGAAGAUAGGUUUAAAAUACUGCAUGAUCUCACUAAAUUGGAGAAAUGGACUGAAAUCAAUACAAUGAGAGGCAGUAAGAAUGCCCAUAAAGGUUAAGUGGUUGAUGGAGGAAGGAUUAAUGAAAUGCACAGAUACUGGGUCAAAUUGCAGAUAUCCUUACUUCAUUCUUACUCCAUACUACACAAAUAUGUUCUACUUAGGCAAACUCAAUGAGGAGGCACCCAGGAUGUGGCUAGUGACACAGAAAGUACAGACCAAUAUUAAGGGAAGAGAGGGGAUGAGAUGGAUGUAAAAUAUGGAAAGUUGGACUGAGAAAAAGAAAGUGAUAUUAAUACAAGAAAGACAAAUGACAUUUGGAUAGGAAUAUGACCUGUGAAAUAGCUGGAGUCAAGGAGGUAGACAGAUCCAUAGAUCCACACAUCCACAGCCUGAUCAGGUUUAGAAUAGACAAUGAUAACUACUCUCCCUUUACAUCUACCCCCCGCCUCAAGAAAAUACAAAUCAAUCCUAGUCCACAUUUCCUGUAACACCCUGAAGUUGAGUGGAAGAAAUGCCAUGAAACUCUGCAUAGCUGUUGCUACCACCAGUCAUCCUCCUCUUGGGAACGCUGAUACACAGAGUCUUCGUGCUGAGGGAGGAGAGCAGAGAGCAACCAGGAUAUGUUCAGAGGAAAGUAACGAAUGCUGGAUAGAAGAUCUGUUGGGGAAGGUGAUGAGGGUUGCAUGUAUGUGGGCUGGGGGAGCCCUUGGAGAGGAGGAAAGGUUUGUCCACCAGGCCCUCGAGACUCCAGCGGAAUGAAGCCAUUGCUCAGUGCUGUGGCUCACGCCACUGAUUUCCCAAGGAAUGAAAUCAGUUUCUGCAGAAUUAAGCUUUUCAUAUAAAAUUCAAGGUUUCUGCUACUUGUUGCUGUGAAAAGAAACUUUAGGUGUGACCUGAGUUAUCCAAGUCUACAGAGAGUCUCCAGUUACACAGUCUCAAAGUGAGAAAGAACUUGUCAGUAACCCUUAAUGAGGUGUGAACUUCUCUCCUUUUUCUGCAGUGACUAUUAACUCCCAACCCCAAGAAAACUUUUCUGAGUCAAUGUUUUCCUUUUUCUAGUAGUUUAGGGACACAUGGCAGAUAAAGAGAAAAGCUUGGAGGCCUAAAAAAAUCCGAAGCUGAAUGAAUAGUUGACUGUUUUACUGCUGAUCACGGGUUUAUUUGCAUUGUUGGGGACAGGUUUACAUAAAGCCUCACUAUUUUCUGCUCCUUCAUCCAAUCCAGUUCCUGCUUGUAUGGUACCCUGGAGAGGAUAAGAACUAAACGUCCUUUAUGACCAAAGUGUUCAUGCUGCAGUGGUGAUGUGAGAACCUAAAUGGGACAGAACUACAAGUGGGAAGAAGCUUAUUUCCAUCGACUUUCUGCAGUAACAAAUGUAUAAUAACACGAAUGAUUCAGCAAGUGGACUGGUAACCUUGAAAAGCAGUGACGCUGAAGCUAUACAACGUGGUUCUUAAGGCCACGGUGAGAGAGUGCCAGGAAUGAGACAGUGUAGCUAGCCUUGGCUUGGAGCAUAAGGUGGACAAGGGCCAUAUCGGUCUUACACCAUUCCUAUUUCCUUGAUAUCAAGGAUGAUGAUUUACUAGGAAUGGAAAAAAAUCUGCCAUGAUCCAGGAAGGCCGUGAUCCAUCCAUGAACAGGAAGGCCUGUUAGAGCCAUAGUCAUGAGUCCUAUGUGUAGGAAAAUCAGUCUUUGCUUGGGUUUGAUGAAACCAAGUUUAACAUUCUGCAUUAAACAUUCAAGUUCAAACAUGCAACUGAUUGCACAGACGUGUCAUUUCAUUCAGCUACUGUCAUCAGAUGCAAGAUCUGGGCAUACAAUUUAAGCAGCUCCAUUUACAGCACUUCAGGAACAUUCCUGUUUUUAUAUAAAUGCUAUCCAGAAACCUCGCAGCUCUCAUUCACACAAGUAGUCCUGAUGAGUGAUCUUACUGAGGAAUGCUAAUUUAGUCCCUAAAAAUAUGAAUGUAUACUUACUUUACAGCUCACAGAAACUCACUCCAAGUACAAAUAUAUCAUCAGUUAAAUUCAAUUCCUACCAUUUUUCCCGACAAAAACCUUUCUGUGUAUUUUGUGUGGAAUCAUCACAUUGUUCUUCUAUUAGAAAUAUAUAUAAGCAUCUGCUUUUCCAAGUUGUAUGUCAGUGUCGUGCAAUGCUUCCUGAUUGUAACUACUGAUGUGAUUCACAAAGACUAGCUUUAGCUGACCGAGGCUAUAAUCAGUGAAGAAAAAGAGAGGUGCUCCUCCAGCAGAGGAUGAAUAAUGGGAAUCAUCUCUCACCUUUGAUUGCGAAGAGGACCUAUAGAAACUGCCUGUCCUUGGCUAAAGUUAGCAUUCAUAAGCAUCCCUCACAAUGCCCUAAACCAAGGACUUGCUUUGACUGGAAGGGAAUGGAGAACAAAUUAUACACAUGCCAAACAGGCAGUGUUACUCUGAAAAAGUCAUACUGGGGGAAACCAUCUCAAUCAUGAAUAAAAGCAAGCAAGCACUGUUUUUGGAGUAUCAAUGCAAACAGUUUACAUCAAAAUAUUGGCUGGAUGCUAAAAUCGAUCGAGGCUCACAAAGCAGUUCGAAAAAUUCAUGGAAAAUACAUCCAUCAGGAGUUAUUAAAUACACAAAGAUCUUGCCUCUGGCCCAAGAUAUCCCCAGGUCACAGGCUGUCGGGAGUUGUGAGUGCGAGGGGAGAGGGUUGCUGUACGCAUGCCUUGCUCAUACACACUCCUGCCCGCAGCCUCUGUGGGCCACCAUGAGGUCCAAGGAGACCGGGCUAGGCAGACCAGUCUGGCAUAGCCAUUCUUGCAUGCAAACUCUGACUAUGUCUAGGAAAAGCUGUAAAACCUACCGAGAGGAGUACAUUUCACUGGCUGAGUACAGUCGGCAGCCUCUUUGCCAAAGUCAGCAGUGAAACGCCCCUUGAUUUCAGUGGUGGCAGAUACUUAGUCUCUGGCCAGCUCAAGAGGGUUCUGCAUUAGUGACUCAAGAGGUGGGAAAAUGCAUAAUUACAGCACAAAGGCCACAGGCUGCUGAAGCAGUCCAGCUUAUUCAGGAUAUAUUUGACUGCUGCCUGGACCAGCAGAUCCCAAGUUUGGCUGAAAAAGCUUAUUCUGUGGCUGAAGUCUUUCAAAUGCACUACAUGAAUUCCCUGAUCCCCCAACAGAGGUCUUGGGUCCAGGAUCUUUUGAUGACUAGGUGGGAUCUCUGGCAGCCUGCAAGGGGUAGUUCACCCCUUUCUCUCUCACUCCCUGAAAUUUUCUUGGAAUCUCAUAUUCUUUUCUUCAUCUCCUAAACUGCUGGAGAAAACUACACUGAGUUAUUAAGCAUCUGCUUUAUUCCAUUUUUCAGCAGUGGAUGACAUGAGACAUAUAGUCUUAUAGUUUGUAUAAAUGUAAGGUAUUAAUGGCUUCUUGAUUUUUGAAUGGACAGCCUUUGGAAAAAGGUCGAUGAUCCCUCAGCAGAUGCACAAGAAUUGUGUUUUCAUUGUUUUGUAUCCUUUGCUUUGCUUGAUGUGAGGUACAUGUUAGGGCAAUUAGAGGUUUCUUUGUAUUGAAGAUAAAUGUGGUAGGAUUUAACCUUUGUGUACAAAGUUGGAAAUUGUUGGAUGAAAGUACUGAGAGAAGACUCAGGCUGGAUGUAAGUCCACUGCCUUCAGUAGGCUGAUGCCAAGGGAAAAUUAAAAUAUGUUUUCUCUAAGGCAGAGACUAAGGGUCUUAGCAGCCAUUUAUUCUUCUUGCUAAUGGUUGUUCUGCUCAUCUUCUGACUUCAGAGACAGGCUCAGUGCAGCAGGCAGGACCAUUCGUGUGUGCUCAGGAGACCCAGCUGGCUUUGGUGACCAGUUUGCAGUAUGCCAUGGCUAGGCUGUGCCUGCAGCUCACAGGAGAGAAGAUGCACCCAUUAAUUCCACCAUUAAACCUGCCCUGUGACAAUCAGUCACCUUCUUGCACCUUCUUUGGUGAAUGAGCGUCCUCGCUGGUUGCUGGGUGACGUCAGCACCGGCAGUGACACAAACACAUGCUUGUGUAGCUGGGCUGGUCCAGGGAGAGGCUCGCAGAGCAUAAGUCUGUGCCUAGGCUCUCUCCGUCCUUGUAUGAACUUCAGUCUUAUUCUUGGCUCCCGGCAUCUACUGAGCCACAGAGAAAUUGUAGUGUGCCUUCCUAUGAAAUAAAAGACAAGAAAGAGAGCCUAAGAGAGCAUGCAGAAGGUUAAAUUAGCAAACAGGACCACUGUGGAUUCAUUUGGAGGUCUAUCCAACCUGGCUUGAAAUGGUUCCCAGUAAUGCCAUCUUUCUGCUCCUGGCUUUUCUUUCCUCUGUUUGUUGCGUUGGCUUCUGGGGGAGUCCCCACGCUGGGAUGGUGCCGUCACUGCCCCUUCUCCAUGGGAGGAGGUGGAACGGGGAGCACAGCUCUGGCCAGGGCCUUACUCUGUAAGUUACUGCCAGGAGGGUCGUGACAAGAACCCCAAAUCCUGGGUGCCACCUCGAAAGGGGCUGCUCCAUUCCCUAGAAAUAAACUUCUGGAAUUGUCUUUCAAUGCUACAGAGAAAUACCUGGCAGGUCCUAGAAGAAGAAUUUGCUAAAGAUGUGGUAGUACAAGUGCAUUACACGAAAGAGCAGAGCAGGUCACUGAAUUCUUAAAUGUAGGACGUGUAGGUCCCUAUUGGCUCCCUCAAAAAAUCCUUUUAGUGCCAUUAGAUAUGCAGGCAGGAUGGAGUGUCUCCUAAUAACAUCCGUGAUUGUAUUGGGCAAAUGAAGUCUAGCAAAAUUCAUUGCUUUAUAGAGCUUGCAAUAAACUGAUUUGAAGACAAUCUUAACCUGUGCAAAUCUUAGAUGUCUUAAAUCCCCUCCAGAUCAUGUUUCACAGUUCCUCUUUUCCUCCCGCUGUGUUUUUUCUUUGGUUGUUUCCUCUCUCCUAACUGCCCUUCCUCGUUUCACCCCACACUGCCAUUUCCAGGUCCGCUUCCAGGUUCAAAUUCCUGCUCCCCUUUAGAGAGCACGAGGGCAAAAGUCUCAGGCUUGAGUGUGAAAUCUGCCCAGCUGGUCGUACCCUUCUCUGGGCCAAGCUGAGACAGUCUGCGACCCACAGAUAAAAAUCUCUGCUGGGAGUUACUGUUUCAUCUGCUGCGACGCAGCGACACAGGGUGCUGCAGCCGCCUGUCAGACGGAAACCCUGCUACGGGAGCGUGUCCUUGCUGCCCAGCAAGCUUUUAUCUUCUGAACACCUUUAAACCUGCACUUCAGCUCGCGUGUGCCUGCUCCAAGGUGAGACUCAGCGCCCGUUGUCCGAGACGCCGAGGCAGGGUGACGGCAGCCCGUGGGUGCUGGUGCUGCGCUCGCGCGCGCUUUCUGCGCUGCCGGGAAGUCGGCCGAGCGGGGUGAGACACGGGUUGUUUGCACAAGGCUCGGUGCUGCGGGAAUCACAUUCGCCUGACUCCAGGGCAGCCUGAAGCGUGGCAAAUCCUGGCGGAGGGGCCACAGCCCCCGUCCCAUGUCCGAAUGGGAAAUCCCAGAGGGAACCUUCAAGUGUUGUUCAUCCAGGCAAUAUUGUCACGCCCUGGCGGGGUCACAUCCUGAAAAGUGGCACUCCUGGGAGACGCUUCUCCUUGGGGACGGGACUAGGCACUCGGGGUGGCGGGUGCCGCUUAUUGAAUCCGCUCUGUCACUCGAAGCAGCACCUUGCUUUUCCCGAGAAGUCUGUCCUCUGGGACAACUUGGUGUGAUGGUAUCAGGAACUGCUGACUUCAUGGCACACUGGAGAUCAUGUUCUGGUGGAUGUGACAUUUCCGGGAGGCUCAGUAAGAUUUGCUUUACAAACCGUUGGUGCCCUUGCCAGGAAAUUUGCCCCGCUGAGGUCCCUGUAGUGACGGCACUGGGCAGGCACCGUGCAGGUGGGGAGCUGCUGUUUCCUACGGGCAGAGAGCAACGGAGGCAGCUCCCGUCCGGCCAGCGCCUGUGCCGAUGCAAACAGCUCUGCUUCUUCCUGGGGGCAGGAGGUUUGCUCGGCUUUGCUGAGAGGGGAACCCGAAGGGGUGCAGCUAGCUGAAACUCCCACUCAGCCACCUUGUACGUUGCUUCUUUUGCAGCAUAUUUGGCUUUCAGGCCAUGGAGACUGCAUCAAGCUUCAUCAGCCGAUGUAGAGCGUUUUUUGAAGUUUCAAUUGCUGCUUCCUUGCCUGAGACGGAGCUAUCAUUUUUAUGCUUUGGUUGCUUAGGCAGGGAAAGGGAAAGAUGAACAAAUCAGUACAGCCCUCUUGAAUUAGGAUUGAUUUUCAUGAAUUCUUCUUCUUGAUUUUGAAACACAAUUGUUUCUAAAGCAUUUAAUUGAUUCAAUUUUUUUCUUCUUCUUUCUUUUCAGCAACACUUGUCCUCAGCCAUUUGCCACUGCUGGGAGAAAAAAAAAAAAAGAAAAAGAAAAUAAGCUCUGUGUGAGAUCAAGAUUUCAACGCAUUACACACCAAAACAUUUGUUGCUAUUUACUUUUAAAAGUGCCCUUCUGAGGCAGCACGGCUAGAGCUGCCAUCUGUUCGGGAUUACGCUGUGGAACUCCUGGUUUCUCUGCAAACCUCCCGCCUCGUGCGCGGCGCCGUCUGCACGGAAAAGAGAGGUAGCCGGGGCUAAAGGGCUGGCUUUAGAGGAAAUAUGACUUUACAGCUGGAUCUGAAAAGCUGACCUGGUUGUCAGGGAACCACGGACAUGAAGGGUGGAAAAAAAUUCUCGCUAGUGAAGUUGACUCCGUGGCGCGUUUUCUAAGGUUCACUGGGAUGUUACGUGCUGGUUAAAAUACGAAAGGGUCAAGACGGGAAUGUUGCUAUUCAUCUCCUCGCUUUAUGAAGGCAACAGGGAAAUUUGGCCCACUGUCUUUCAGUGCAGUAAAGCCCCCAUAAGGUUGUCACCCCUGCAUUUUUCCUGCCCUUCCCUGAUCCAUCCAGGGUAGAUUCUGGGUGACGAGGGACGAGAAGUCUUUGGUUUUUUGAAGUCAGAGUGGAGUCAGUUUAAUAAUAUAUAGUAGAGGUCAGAAGGGGAUUCAGAUUGUUUGAAAGCGCAGGUGAAAACCCCAGACCUGCCAUCCGCAAAGCGGCAGGAGCAUAAACGCAUCCUCGAGUCCAUUGCUUGGUCAGGUGUGCUGCGUCUUUCAAGGCUAGAGAUUUCUGAGACAGCGAGGAUCAGGAGGUCUCACUGUGGGGUGGUUUUCUUCUCUCUUUUCCAAAAUGGGUUUGUCCAAAAGGUGUAAGUGAAGUCUCUGGGCUCCCAUUUGGCAAGGGAGAGGAUCAGCUCCUGUUGCCAGAGGUAUCCACCCUGCUCUAAACGCACGCUUUUCACCGCUCCAAGUGGCUGUGGGGAGCCUUGGUGACUAGCCACAAAGCUCCUGGAGGUGCUGGCUCCACACAGAGCAUUCAUGUCCCUCCUUGGAUCUGCCUUAGAGGCUCUGAAGGCACCAGAUGCUAAUUAUGGACACGGCAGUCACCGCCUUUUCAGCUGUAACUCAUCUAGAGCGCUGUCUUGCCCCCUUAGCCCAUCCUGGCUCCAGCGUCGCUGACCUGAGAAACGGUUAAGCUACACAGCAGCUCUGCAAGUCUGUAGGUGGGUCUUUAUUUACCAACUUUACAAAUCAACGAACUGAGGUGUGGAGGGAAUAAAGCUGGGAGCCAGCCCUCAAAGCGGGCUCCGGCAGAUGGGUGUUACCUUGCGCGUGGGUCGGGGAACCGGCGAGCAGAUUACUGCCUGGUUCAAAUGGUCCCGAUUUCCAAAGCGGUCUUCUGGGCCUAGAUUUAUAAAUUUGCUUGGAGAUAUAAAAAGUGAGCAGUGUUUUUCACAAGUGUUCAGCAAACAAGAGCUUUUGCUCUGCCAGUGCAGUGCAGAUGUAGAAAAUUAGCUUCUUUGGGCCUGAUUCGGGGAGCUUGUGUGCAGUUUUGGACAUCUGGGCUUGGUGACCUAGGAAGCUCUGACAAAUGCCGAGUGCAGCACUGCAGUGUGCUCUGCGUGCCCAGGACGUGCUUUGGGUCCCCAGCACACUUCCAGUAUGCAGCGUAAAUGGAUCUCUUUUUCUAGAUAGCCUCUUACCUGGCUUUGUAAAUACAGCCAGAAAAAAGACUUUUUAGGGACAAACAGAAUUUAAGCUCCCAAGUGCUUAAGCAGUUUUUAAAAAUGGCUCAGAUGCUUCUCAAUUGCUUGGAUAAAUUAGAGGAAUACAGUGUCUUGUCUAUAUCCUUAUACUGCCACUCCACAGAAAUUAUUUGCAUAGAUAGCCAAGGGCUGAGUCAAGUAUGUGUCCAUUAACAUCUUAAUGGCACCAUCACUAUUUAUAGCCAUGCCGCCACUUGGGGAUCUGUUCAGGCCACGGAUAACAGAGGCCGUGCAGUUUUCCAUCCCUUGUGGAGCAGCCUGGUGGGCUUAGGCCCGCUCAGCCCCAGGACCUGGUGUUCAGCAGCAAGCCCAGGAGGGAGGUUUUGUUUCCAGACGCUGGGGCAGGGAGAAAUCAGUGUCCUCCUCCUGCUCCGUUCCUUGGCUUUCGGUGGUGGGGAGCUGCUGUGUGCAACAGAGCUGCUGUGGUGGAGCUGUUGCGAUGGCCUCAUCCAGCUAUUUCGCUUCAUCCACACGCCAGAUUUUUGUCGGUUUAUCACUAAUCACUUUAUAUAAGCAUGAUGGAAGCGUAUGCAAGGUUGUGCAUAUAGAGGUUUUGCACUCGUUUAACCAAGUUGACUCAGAAAUAAGUUUCUAUUAACCCAGUGCAGGAUCUGUGAGAAGAUGGGGAUGGGGAGGAAGUACUUCACUCUUCUGGUGGGGAAGGAAGCUAUGCUGCAAGGUGCAAUAAUUUGGCAGAUCUAUUCUGGAACAAAAAUGCCUGUUAGAACUUGUCUCGUCCUCUGGGAAGAAAAUUUUCCCCAGCGUGUGUGUGCAUCGAUAAGAUCUGGACUGAAUGUGCCUCGGUGCUCCUCCAGAUAAUGCCGCUGAAAAAGCAGCUUGCUUAAAUUCAUCUUUGCAGCAGCAUAACGUGCCUCUAGAGCCCAGAGCAUCUUCCCCUUGAGCGUAGGGAGCUCUCUGCACUGAAGCCUCGCCGGCAUGCAGGAAGGGGCCAGGCACAGUGCAGGGACUGGAAAGGACUGAACAGUGUACCAGCAUCGAACAGAGAUGAAAUAAGUAAUGAAUUGAUACCUCUUCCAGUGUAAGUAUUCAGCAGCUUGCAGGCCCUCUUAAUGGCUGCAAGGAUGCUGGCUGAAUGCAGUUCAAAUUAAGAGCCACCUUGUCAGCGGUGGGCUGGGAAGGCACUGGACAAUUUUCUCUCAGACUAAUCACAUCAGGCAAUGGAGCCAGUAGCAAACCGUGUCACAAGGAAUGUGAAAUAUUGGCAGCUUCCCAGUCCAUUCAGUUAGGGCUGGAUUCUCCUUUCCCUCCGUCCCCAAACCCAUGUUACCACUGCUCUUCUUUGAAAAUUAAGGUAUGUCAGAUCCAAGCCGGGGCAUCAAACCGGGCUUCCUGGCGAGGUGCUGCACCGCGGCCCAGGAGAGUUUCAGGGAAUCUGCUUUCUAAGGUUAUGAAAUCAAGGCUCGCAUCGUAAGAGAGAAUUAAUCUUUUCAAAUUGCCCUUUAGCCUGUACAGUUCUGAGCAGCGCAGUAUUAAUAUUUUAAGUGGAUUUUAUAAGCUCGCUUGAAAAAGCCGUGGUGGAGGAGGGGGGAGAGAUGGCCUUCUCCUUGCUGCUAACAGUGCUGUUUAACCCUCUGGGCCCUGCGCACGGGCAUGGAGGGAGCGGAAUGGCUCGCUGCUGAGGACUGAGCUCGUAUUUUAGAGGCACGUGAGAGAGGUGACACGAGUCUGGUCUUUCCUGUGCCACGCUCGCGCUGCGGGGCUGGGGCUGCGCGCCUUGAGAGGCCAGACGCGGUCCUGCCCUUCCGACGCGGCUGCUCGCUGGAGCUCGAAUCCGGCAACUCCCCGGGCAGAGCUCAAACGCUUCCCGAAAGAGCUGCGGUGCUGUUACUUACACUUGGUCUCUAAUCAAAAAGACACAAAUCAUCAACAGCUCUCGCUGACAGGGUGCCCAGGGUGGCGAAUCUCUUCCUAUUUGUUGCUGGCAAGGUGCAGGAGGUGUUUUUGAUUUUUGGAUGUGCUAUUGUGUUCCUUAGUUGUCAAGCUGUGUUUAAUUAUUUAAUUAGUCAUGCAAAUUUAGCCUGAAUUUUGGUACAUCUAAAUCGUUACUCCAGCAAUUAAAAAGCUGCUUUGAUUAGCUCUUUUUACAGUGCGUGGCACAGCGGAGCCUCCUCAGCUUUCCUCUGACAAUGCAGCGGAUGGAUGGGGCGGUCGGUGAAGUGGCAACGUGGCUCCGUUUUCUGCCUCGCUGCAGAAGCACCAAAGAUACGAAGAGGAGGGUUUCCAUCCUGGCGAUGGAAGACACCACAGAAAUUUGUUCACUGGUGAUCUACCAACGCUUGGGAAUCUGAAGGUGACAAGCAAUAGCUGCUUUCUCUUGGAAUAAAAAGUUGGCCUGAAGCAUCGCACUGAACUUAUUACUUACAACUUUACUGAUGCCAGUGGGAGUAAUAGGGAGUCCUGCAUCGGGUGCACCACCAACCAUCGGAAUAAGCAGAAAUCUUCCAGCUUCACUGCUCACAGAGGCUCCUUUGCAAUCAGCACGGGCAGAUUUUCAUGGGCGACAGCGAGCUUUUCUUCCUGAGCAAAACAGACCGACGGAUUGGAGAAGCGGUGAUGAGGGAGUUAGCGAGAGCCUGGGGGAGAGAGGAGAGAUGUUUGUUAGAGAUGAAGAAACCUGGGAAAGAGAGAAGAGGAGGAUGGAGAAUGCCUCUGGGAUAUGGCCAACGUAAGAUGCAGCUUGUGGUCCUGGAGUUGGUGGCUGUGCGAUGGGACAUGGACAGCGGUGCGCAACAACUGAACGUGGCUCACCGGUAUGGAGUGGAAGUCACUUCUGUGGAAAGGUCCAGGUUUUACUGGCCAACAGAGACCUGAGCCCUCUUUGAAUAUGACAGGAGAUAAACCAGAGCCAAAUUGCACCCUGCAAAGAGAAUACAAUGGAAAUGAUGGGCAGAAGUGGAUUAUUGGGAGAAUUAUUCAUUUCUAGAGCAUCUUGGAGACAACAGAGCUGUGGUACCUCAGUGCCAGAGAAGCAAACAGCCUCGUGUGGGCCAGGGCUGGAGACCGAGGGUGCCUCAGGCUCCCCGGGGGAGCCCUCACUGCUGGCAGUCCCGCCGGCUCCCGCCUCCGUGCCGUCGAUGCUGGGGCUGAUGCUCUGCAGGGCUGUGCUGGAGGGUCCGCUCCUCCUCCCGCCGCUGCUCACCCUGCAGAAAAUCCCCUGGUAAAGCCGGGUUCCUCGUGGCCUUCUGAUUUAUGGUACCCUGGCAGGACUUUUCAGCAUUAAUAUAAUCUUUCUUAAUAAAAAGGGGGGGAAAAAAACCCACUCUGUCCACCUUGCCCUGAGUUUUCUUCUUUUCAGUUUCCCCUUUUCUCUUUUCCCCUUUCCUCGCGCUGCAGUUUUGCUAUAGAGAGAGCAGCUUAGAUGGCCCUGCUGGCCUUUCCAGACUGGUGAAAGCUCUGUAAAGAAAAUAAGGGGAACGUUUUACUGUACUUCCAUGCUAAAAAUAAACCCGGUCUGUAUUUCUGGAGCAUCUUUCAGCUACUGAUUUCAAAGAUCCUUAAAAUUCUCAGCUAAUGAAGCUUCCCAGCUCCCCAGGGAGGGGGACUGGAUAUUACUAGGUCGCAAGCCCUUUGGAGGAGGGCCUGCUUCUUGUUUGGCGUUUCGUACCGCCCCCGACACUGCGAGGGACCGGGAUUACAAGAGAGAAUAUGAGUUUAUAUCCAAAGCCGGUCCUGUUACAGCGACCUGAGCCCCCAGACCUGCCUGCCCUGGCAAAAGGGCAUUUGCUGGCUCUGUAGAGCAACCUGGAAUGUUUCCUCCCCUCUUCUUUUAACGUUUGGUCCUGAAGCUGUGAAGGACAGAGAUGGGAGAGGCCAAAGGGAGCCUUUUGGACCUCUUCCAGACCUCAGGGAGAGGCAUUUUUGAAGAGACAGCAUAAGUUUAUUUUAAGAGCUGUGGCUGUUAAGAAGUCCUGGGGGUUGUAUCAGGCUUUUGGCAGCCUGAAGAGGUUUGUGGAAAAGGCUCUGCCUGCUGUGGGGGAAAAAGCACGGAAUUUUCUUUUUCUCAAAAAAUUAGAUGUAUGGCAAAUGAAGGUAUUUUUCUCAAAACUCACCCCUUCCUCUCCCUAGACCAGCUGAACUGUGACAUUUGGGUGUUACCCCUGAGUCCUCUGUUAAAGGCAGCGGGAACAGCAAUGGACAAUCCUCGGGAAAGGGGGAAAAGAGCUAAAGCGAAAAGCAGAGGUGGAGCUUUCUCGCACGGCACACAAGCGCCGAGAGCACAGGUCUCUAAAACACCCAGGCCUCGUGCUGAAGGGCCCAGAGCCCUGCUGAGAUUUCCCUGCAGUUACCGACUCGUGCUGCCAGCUCCGGCGCUGCUGAGCCCACGGACCGCGAAAGGGAGGCGAAUGGCCCGGCUGCUCACGGGACUCAUCCUGGCAACGUUUCGCCAGCCCGCUCCCGGCGCGCAGAAGGACGUGCGCUCCCUGCAACCUUUGAUAUCCCCGCUGCUGUUUUGAUCUUUUUUAUCUUUCCAAGAAUCUCUCUUUUCCAGUCGUAUUUAACUACCCUUGUAGCUAAGGCUUUCAUGUGCUGAGGCAUCAAAAGCUGUUCUGAAGUCCAGGGUGAAUCAUGCCCACUCCUUCCUCCUUCCCGUAUUUCUCUUCCCUGAAAGGACGCUGUCCCAUGCACCAGGCGGGUUUGGGG